rnacentral:rRNA from 1 species
GACAGAGGUGCCAAGCGUUAGGCGGAAUCACUGGGCUUAAAGCGUGUGUAGGCGGACUGGUAAGUACCCUUGUGAAAUCCCACGGCUCAACCGUGGAACUGCUCGGUAUACUGCUCGGUCUUGAGCCACGUUAGGGGCUGUCGGAACAAACGGUGGAGCGGUGAAAUGCGUAGAUAUCAUUUGGGAACGCCAACGGCGAAAGCAGGCAGCUGGGGAUGCAC